CGGGUUCAGAACUGUCCAACACAUUAUUAAACAAUGGAAGGAUAGUGGGGAACCACCGGUGAUAGGCACAUCAGGGCAAGAAGCGAGGCAGAUGAAGUGAUGCACCCAUCAUGCCUAGUAUAAGCCUGUGGGGGCAGUGCUAUGAUCUGGGGUUGCCGCAGUUGGUCAGGUCUAGGUUCAUAAACAUUAUGUGCCCAAAGAAUGAGGUCAGCUGACUACCUG